GAUGAACGCUGGCGGCGUGCCUAAUACAUGCAAGUCGAGCGAACAGACGAGGAGCUUGCUCCUCUGACGUUAGCGGCGGACGGGUGAGUAACACGUGGAUAACCUACCUAUAAGACUGGGAUAACUUCGGGAAACCGGAGCUAAUACCGGAUAAUAUAUUGAACCGCAUGGUUCAAUAGUGAAAGACGGUUUUGCUGUCACUUAUAGAUGGGUCCGCGCCGCAUUAGCUAGUUGGUAAGGUAACGGCUUACCAAGGCAACGAUGCGUAGCCGACCUGACAGGGUGAUCGGCCACACGGGAACUGAAACACGGUCCAGACUCCUACGGGAGGCAGCAGUAGGGAAUCUUCCGCAAUGGGCGAAAGCUUGACGGAGCAACGCCGCGUGAGUGAUGAAGGUCUUCGGAUCGUAAAACUCUGUUAUUAGGGAAGAACAAAUUUGUAAGUAACUAUGCACGUCUUGACGGUACCUAAUCAGAAAGCCACGGCUAACUACGUG
rnacentral:rRNA from 1 species